CUUCAGUUAUUACGCUUUGUGACAUUUAUGAUAAAUUUCGUUAAUAUGUAGAGGAAUCUGUUUAUCCAAGCGCUUCCUGUGUGCCAUGUUUUCACGUCUUCAUCAAAGCUGGCAGUCAGUGACACGCCCCGCUUUCAGCACUAGGUGUCGCUGUAGCAUCGUGUUUUCAUACAGCUUCUCACUUCAGCGAGUUUUCACGUCAAACACGGUUCGAAGUUUACAUUAAGGCCUAAAAUUUGUCUUUUGCCUCUUUUUCUCUUUUUUAAAAUUUACUUUGAAGUGAAUCAUCACGCGUGUUUUCAACGCAGACGUCCACGCCAAUGUGGGCGCCACACGGCUUCUUGCUGGACAGUGUGCUGCUGCUCUUUGCCUUAUCACAUUUGAGUGUCAACAGUAGGAGCUCAAGCGUGGACUACACUGUCUCCAUUCAUGUUCACCUCAUACAGGGAAGAUUUUGAGUACAUCUCCAGCGCAUGCCACCAACAGAAAUACUGUGAUUCUGCAGAAUUUGAUGACUGAAUGAUUUUGUGGAGUGGUCUGGGAGUGGGAUAUCUGCUCUCUGAAUGAGAAUACGACCAGAGACGAUUGUGAGGACGGCUACACGACCUGUGUUUAUCCUGGUGGUGGAGGAGUACAAGC